rnacentral:lncRNA from 1 species
ACAUUGCAGAAAUCUGUGUUUCCACAAAUGUCUAUUUUGCAGAAAUCUGCUGCUGUUAUGAUGUGGAAGGUCUUCUGGUGGCAAAAGAGACAACCCAGGCUUCAAAAGUUUUGUUGAUACUUAAAGCCUUUUUGAUUCGUUUCUUCAAGAUUACUAGUAAAGAGAACAUGAUCCUGAUGCUGUCUUUUAUUUGGCCCAAUGCAGCUACUCUUCCCUUUGUGUUGCUGAAGACCUGAAGACAAAGACAGGAGUGAGUAGAAACAGUUUAUGCUGUCUGCUUACAGAAUCUGGUAUGUCCUUUUCCCUCAGUAAAAUUGGAAACCACUUU